UUACGGCCACAUCACGUUGAAACAUCGGUUGCCGUACGAUCACCGAAGUUAAGAAACGGCGAGCCUAGUCAGUAACUAGAUGGGUAACCUCUUAAGAAUACCAGGUGUUAUA